rnacentral:rRNA from 1 species
UACGAAGGGGGGCUAGCGUUGCUCGGAAUUACUGGGCGUAAAGCGCGUGUAGGCGGUUCCGCAAGUCAGGUGUGAAAGCCCAGGGCUCAACCCUGGAAGUGCACUUGAUACUACGGAGCUUGAGUACUGAAGAGGAGAGCGGAAUUCCCCGGUGUAGAGGUGAAAUUCGUAGAUAUCGGGAGGAACACCAGUGGCGAAGGCGGCUCUCUGGGCAGAUACUGACGCUGAGACGCGAAAGCAUGGGGAGCAAACAGG